UCAAACUUGGUCAUUUAGAGGAAGUAAAAGUCGUAACAAGGUCUCCGUUGGUGAACCAGCGGAGGGAUCAUUACAGAGUUAUUAUAAACUCCCAACCCUUUGUGAACCAUACCGUCGUUGCCUCGGCGCAGAGCUGCGGUUGCUUUUUUGGAGUUGUCUACCCGGGAGCCAUCUACCCUGUAGUUGGCUACCCUGGAGCCACUCCGCCGUCCGCCUAGCCGCGUCAAGGGACCAUUAAACUCUGAUUUUUAUUAUGUGUCUCUGAACGAUAAAACAAAAAUUCGUUAAAACUUUCAACAACGGAUCUCUUGGUUCUGGCAUCGAUGAAGAACGCAGC
rnacentral:misc_RNA from 1 species